AUCCCCUACAGAAGAACAGGGGUCAGGCGCAGGUUGAAGAAUCAUCAUCUGUUCUUAUCAGUUUAAUAUCUGAUACUUCCCCCAUCGGUGGACUAUAUAUUAAAUGGAUUUUGCGAACAGGGAGUCGGAAAUGGGCUUGCUCCAUCUGCUCCACGCACCAACCCGGUAUUGCAGUACCUCCGGAACGGUGAAACACCU